UGGUUCUAGCAUCGAUGAAGAACGCAGCGAAAUGCGAUAAGUAAUGUGAAUUGCAGAAUUUUGUGAAUCAUCGAAUUUUUGAACGCACAUUGCACCUUUUGGUAUUCCGAAAGGUAUACCUAUUCGAGCGUCAUUUCACCUAUCAAACUUCUAGUUUGGUUUUGAAUUAAAUCUUAUGAUUGAUUUCAAAUAGAAUUUAGUUUUGGUACAAUGAUCUGUAUUUCAAAACUGUUUUCAAGAAAAUAAUUUAUGGUUGACCUCGAAUUAGGUAGGAUUACCCGCUGA
rnacentral:misc_RNA from 1 species